rnacentral:lncRNA from 10 species
UGAGAAUAUGUGGUAUUUGGGUUUCUGUUCCUUCAUCAAGUUGCUUAAGAUGAUGACCUUCAGCUCCAUCCAUGUUGCUGUAAAGGACAUGAAUUCAUUCGUUUUUACAGAGUGGGUGUACCAGUUCACAAUCCCAAUAGAAAUGAUGUAAGAAGCAGGACACAACUCCAGAGGUGGGGCUCAGACAUGGAACCAGAUUGAGGACAAGUUAACACAGGGCCUGGGUUCUACUGCCAUUCCAGAGACUCUGAAGACUUUUUGUUUAAAAAAAAAAGAAAAAAAAAAAGAAGAAAACUUCAG